AUCUACUGGGCGUGCAAAGACCAAAAGCAGGGCAAACGAUCCCCCUAGGCAUUUUCUAACGGACCAAAGACACCACUUCAAAGAGAAAACUGCAAAGAGUUAAAAAAUAAAUAAAUAAAUAAAAUCACAUCCUGAGCAUGAUAUCGAUGACAGUUGCUUGCUUAGGCAGACGGAUACGCAAAACAUCAGAACCAGGAUUUGAAGUUCGCCCAAGUGAAUGCUUUAUAAAGCGACUUCUACUGACGUCUUGCCGUUGAGUGCGCAACGAAAUCACCAUGGACUCCGUCAGGCACAGGCACGGCACCAACCAUGCGAGCAAGUCGAGUGAGGUGGACCGGACCUCGGUGGCGGCGAGGCCGCGUACUGUCCUUGGCGAACUGUCAACCAACGAGCAGUUCCAUCACUCACAGAGUCAGGGAAGCCAUAUUUCCAAGUCAAGUAAGCCUACGGACUGGGGGCAGGCUUUCAGGGGGUCCAGCAGAGGGCAUAACACGCAUGCUGAAGAGACUGAGACAGAGUUUCCCCUCGACGCCGACACUGUGGCCUUGAACCUUGACCUGGACAAGGAUGACUGUUCAACGGAUGACGAUUCAGUGGAAUCUGAACCUGACGAAUUGCCACUGGACCAGGAGGUGCUGCGCGCCUCACAAUUCGUCAACGACAUCCACCGCUACUUGAGGCUCAACGAGGCAGCGUCACCCGUGGCGCGGGGCUACCUUCUGCAGCACCCGCAGAUCACCGCGGACGCGCGGCUCAUCCUGGUGGACUGGAUGGUGGAGGUGUGCCAGGUGUACAAUAUGGCCUCAGAGACACUGCAUCUGGCCGUCGGCUACGUGGACCGCUUCCUGUCACGCAUCGCCGGACUGCGGCGUAGCAAGCUGCAGCUAGUCGGCAUUGCAGCACUCUUUGUGGCCACGAAGUAUGAGGAUGUGUGUCCGUGCGAGGCACAGGACUUGGUGUUCAUCACAGCUAACACGUACACAAUUGGACAGCUUCUCCAGAUGGAAAGUCUGAUAUUGGAGAAGUUAUGCUACAGCGUGGGCACUCCCACAGCCUACCACUUCCUGCGCCUCCUUACAUCCGUUCAUGUUGUGUGCACCCUCACCGAGAACCUCGUAUCUGACAGAGUUGAGCCUACUGUACAUGGAUCCUUUCCUGGAGUACAACGCAUCAGUGGUAGCAUCCGCCGCCCUAUGUCUUGCCAACCUCACUAUCAACAGAUCCCUCUGGCCGGACACGUUGCGCGACUUUACUGGCUACACAACGGACGACAUCAUGCCAUGCGUACGCGCGCUGCAUAGGCUGCACGUCUGCUUUGAAACACUACCUGUGCAGGUUAUCGCGAUCAAAUACAACAAAGCCAAGUUCUGCCGCGUGUCUUCCAUUGCACCGCUUGCUGAGCUGCCACACCUCUAGCCCACACAAGUAAACAAACCUGAUUGACAGACAUGUCACACACCCCUCUUCAUUGUUACCGCAUGAGUCUGCUGUUUAGAAAAUAAAAAACAUGAA